rnacentral:rRNA from 1 species
CAGUCGCCGCGGGAAUACGAAGGGGGCUAGCGUUGUUCGGAAUUACUGGGCGUAAAGCGCACGUAGGCGGAUAUUUAAGUCAGGGGUGAAAUCCCGCAGCUCAACUGCGGAACUGCCUUUGAUACUGGGUAUCUUGAGUAUGGAAGAGGUUAGUGGAAUUGCGAGUGUAGAGGUGAAAUUCGUAGAUAUUCGCAGGAACACCAGUGGCGAAGGCGGCUAACUGGUCCAUAACUGACGCUGAGGUGCGAAAGCGUGGGGAGCAAACAGGAUUAGAUACCCCUGUAUUCCCUGUCUCUUAUAC